rnacentral:tRNA from 1 species
GUGUGUAGUUCAGUGGUGGACCAGUGCUUGCCUCUUGUGCAUGAGGUACUAGGUUCAAUCCCCAGCAAAACACA